rnacentral:rRNA from 1 species
AUGCCUAACACAUGCAAGUCGAACGGUAACAGGUCUUCGGAUGCUGACGAGUGGCGCACGGGUGAGUAACGCGUGGAUAUCUGCCUAUGAGUGGGGGACAACUUUCGGAAACGAAAGCUAAUACCGCAUAAUCUCUACGGAGCAAAGCAGGGGACCUUUCGGGGCCUUGUGCUUAUAGAUGAGUCCGCGUCAGAUUAGCUAGUUGGUGGGGUAAGAGCCUACCAAGGCGAUGAUCUGUAGCUGGUUUGAGAGGAUGAUCAGUCACACUGGAACUGAGACACGGUCCAGACUCCUACGGGAGGCAGCAGUGGGGAAUUUUGCACAAUGGGGGAAACCCUGAUGCAGCGAUGCCGCGUGUGGGAAGAAGGCCUUUGGGUUGUAAACCACUUUCAAUUGGGAAGAAGGGAUGAGGAUUAAUAAUCCUCUGACUUGACGGUACCUUUAGAAGAAGCACCGGCUAAUUUCGUGCCAGCAGCCGCGGUAAUACGAAAGGUGCAAGCGUUGUUCGGAUUUACUGGGCGUAAAGAGAUCGUAGGGUGGUUUGUUAAGUUGGAUGUGAAAUCCCGGGGCUCAACCCUCGGAA